CGUAACAAGGUCUCCGUUGGUGAACCAGCGGAGGGAUCAUUACCGAGUUUACAACUCCCAAACCCAAUGUGAACGUUACCAAACUGUUGCCUCGGCGGGAUCUCUGCCCCGGGUGCGUCGCAGCCCCGGACCAAGGCGCCCGCCGGAGGACCAACCAAAACUCUUAUUGUAUACCCCCUCGCGGGUUUUUUACUAUCUGAGCCAUCUCGGCGCCCCUCGUGGGCGUUUCGAAAAUGAAUCAAAACUUUCAACAACGGAUCUCUUGGUUCUGGCAUCGAUGAAGAACGCAGCGAAAUGCGAUAAGUAAUGUGAAUUGCAGAAUUCAGUGAAUCAUCGAAUCUUUGAACGCACAUUGCGCCCGCCAGUAUUCUGGCGGGCAUGCCUGUCCGAGCGUCAUUUCAACCCUCGAACCCCUCCGGGGGGUCGGCGUUGGGGAUCGGCCCUUUACGGGGCCGGCCCCGAAAUACAGUGGCGGUCUCGCCGCAGCCUCUCCUGCGCAGUAGUUUGCACACUCGCAUCGGGAGCGCGGCGCGUCCACAGCCGUUAAACACCCCAAACUUCUGAAAUGUUGACCUCGG
rnacentral:rRNA from 1 species